AUUCUCUUUGCUCCCCCCCAAGCUACCAUUGAUCUGGACUCAGCAGAAGAAAUCAAAGAUCUACCGUUACAGCUGAAGGAAGGUCAUAGAUGAAAGAUUAUUCAUCAAUAAGAACAGUCACAUUAAUCCAGUUCUUCCUUAGCCCCAACUAACCAAGAAGGGCUGAAAUCCAGCAAAGUUCUAACCAGGAAGGUAAAUAUCCUAUUUCGAGGGCAAGUAUCACCCGGAACCCAGGGAGCGACUCAGUUCUGCCCCCAAGAUAUCCCUCUUAGGGACCAGCAGAAGAAAUCAAAAGCCUAUCAGAACAGCCUAUGGAAGACUAGAGUGGAAAUAAAAACCAACAAGAUCAGUCACAUAGUCCAGUUCUUCCUUAGCCACAACCAAGCAAAGGAGUCUGAAAUGGAGCAAAGUUCCAAAUGGGAAAAUGAGACAAAAUCUGACUGUGCCACAAGCCAGUAUUCAUGAGACUGAAGUCCAUACAACCAAAGUGGGGGAAAUGAUGUUAUUAUGUAGAGAGAAAGUGUAGAAUCAAUACCAGAUAGAAUUAGGUCAACACAAAUAAGAGAGUUAGUCGAUAUAGAUUAAGGGCCUACUAUAUGGAAGAGAUAUAGGGGAGGAAAAGUACCUACUGAAGGAAUUUAAGGAACUCCUAUAGUUAGGUGGGAAAUAGAGGCUCAGUGAGGAGCUCUUCUAGGUUCAACUGAAAUUGUCCUGAAAUAUCCACCUUUUACAAUAGGACAUAAGGGAAUAUUUAAAAAGAAACAUUUAUAUAGCAUCUACUUUGUGCCAAGCAUUGUGCUAACUACUUUAUAAUUAUCUCAUUUCACCUUCAUAACCACCCUGACAACUAUGAGCUAUUAUUACCCUCAAUUCAAAGUUGAGAAAAAUGAUAUAAAGUGAUUUUAUUCAGGGUCACAUCGUUAUUGUCUGAGGUCAUAUCUGAAAUCAAGUCUUUCUAAUUUCAGACCCAGCCCUCUAUCCCCUCAGCAAUCCCCUCCCUUGGAAAAACAACUACUUCUAUGCCCACGCAUCAGCUCCCCACAACACUACACACCUAUGGUUCUAAAUCUUUCAAAGGAAAAGGGGAAAUACAUUUCAUCAUUUAUUUUCGUUGGCCAAGCUUGAUCACAAAACCCUCAGUUUCUUUCAUCUUUCUUUCUUUUCUUUCUUCUUUCUUCUUUCUUCUUUCUUCUUUCUUCUUUCUUCUUUCUU